UACGUAGGGGGCAAGCGUUGUCCGGAUUUAUUGGGCGUAAAGAGCGUGUAGGCGGCCUGACAGGUCUGCUGUGAAAACUCGAGGCUCAACCUCGAGAUGUCGGCGGAAACCGUCUGGCUAGAGUCCGGAAGAGGAGAGUGGAAUUCCUGGUGUAGCGGUGAAAUGCGCAGAUAUCAGGAAGAACACCUAUGGCGAAGGCAGCUUACUGGGCCGAUACUGACGCUGAGGAGCGAAAGCGUGGGGAGCGAACAGG
rnacentral:rRNA from 1 species